rnacentral:rRNA from 1 species
UACGGAGGGUGCGAGCGUUGUCCGGAAUUAUUGGGCGUAAAGAGCUCGUAGGCGGUUUGUCACGUCGGAUGUGAAAUCCCGGGGCUUAACUCCGGGCCUGCAUUUGAUACGGGCUGACUAGAGUUCGGCAGGGGAGACUGGAAUUCCUGGUGUAGCGGUGAAAUGCGCAGAUAUCAGGAGGAACACCGGUGGCGAAGGCGGGUCUCUGGGCCGAUACUGACGCUGAGGAGCGAAAGCGUGGGGAGCGAACAGG